GCACCCAUGGUCUAGUUGGUUAUGACAUCGGUUUUACACACCGAGGGUCGGGUGUUCAAGUCACUCUGGGUGUA
rnacentral:tRNA from 1 species